CGUCGGUUAAACUGUUGGCCGGUCGUCUAUCGUCAAGGUAUUCUAAAACACAUUUUUAUCCAAUCAGAAAAAAGUAUUUACCGUCAUGACGGUAUAAUACAGUCUGUCUCUCCUCUGCUCCCUAACCUCCUCCUCAGGGAUCUGUGUGCUCUGCCCUGCAUGUCUUUCACAUGCCAGUGUCCUAACCCAACCUGGCCCUUGUUUGUCUCCCUCGUUAAUCUCCAGCCUCGUCCUAAAUCGGGGACUGCAUCAUGCAGAGUCAGCAUUUCAGGACUAAAUACGCUCUAAUAUGUCAUCAUUUUCCAAAGCUCCCUCCAAAUGCCUCUUUUACCCAACUUUGGCCGACACAACCAGUAUAUGUAUAUAUUUUGAAGCUCUCGGUACUGUAUUCCAUUGAGCGUGCGUCACUUGUUUCAUGGAGCACUUGGGUCGUCCUUGUAAGGAAAUAUCAGGUACGAAAGACCCACCUUGGGCAGCGAGGCCCUCGACCCAGAGCUCUGCGUGGUCAUAGUCAGUACGGUGGUGAUGCCCAGACCCACUCUGGCUGGUGCAGCGUCCAUGUUUAUCCAGAAAGACACCCAGGAGAGGAUGACGAUGAGGAGGGAGGGGAUGUACAUCUGGAUCAAGUAGUAGCCCAUUUGACGCUCCAGGUGGAACUUCACCUCGAUGCAGCGUGGGGUCCCUGGUUCCUCGACACCGUAUCUGGAAUUCAUUAUGUACCUGUGUUGUAAUGCUUAGUGCAGUAGCCCAAAUCCAUCUCCUCUUUAAGCACAAACUGGGGGAGGGUGAGAUCAUCGGCAACCUGAACGGGG